rnacentral:rRNA from 1 species
GAUGAACGCUAGCGGCGGGCCUAAUACAUGCAAGUCGAACGGGAAAGGCGGCAACACCUUGAGAGUGGCGUACGGGUGCGUAACGCGUAUACAACCUUCCUGUUACACGGGGAUAGCCUUGCGAAAGCGAGAUUAAUACCCGAUGGUACUAUUGAGCGGCAUCGCUUGGUAGGUAAAGCUGAGGCUGGGACAGAGGGGUAGGCGUCCCAUUAGCUCGGUGGUAGUGUAACGGACUACCAAGGCGAUGAUGGGUAGGGGUUCUGAGAGGAUGAGCCCCCAGACUGGGACUGGGAUACGGACCAGAGUCCUACGGCAGGCAGCCGUAGGGAAUACUGGGCGAUGGACGGUAGUCUGACCCAGCCACGCCGCGUGCAGGAAGACGGUCCUCUGGAUUGUAACCUGCUUUUCUUGAGGAAGAUAACCCUUCUGCGGAAGGAAUUGACGGUAAUCAAGGAAUAAGCAACGGCUAAAUCCGUG